CGGCGCGGCACGCCGCUCCUGGGACGCUGCUGAAACGUCCCGCGGCGCGCCCGGUGGAAAUGGUCUCAUUGAUUAUAGUGGAAGCGAUCAGCAGCGUGACCGCGGCGCAGCCGUCCCGCGGCGCGUACGCCUCCGGUGGAAUCUAGCCUUGAGUAGUUGCGUUCCGGGUUGUCGAGCACUUCCGCCCGCGUCCUCAGACGCAACUUGGAUGACGAACUGAGUCGUGUCUUCAUUGUUUCUCACCAUUUCCUGUAUAUUGCAGAUUUCUUUAUUGUUGCUGUGGCACCCAAUCCUGGGACCCAUAACACGUGCAUGAAUGCGCAAGACUUGAGAACAUACGCCGGAACUGGUCGGAAAAACGUCAAAUUCCCACCACGUCAAGUCGGACACAGGUGCACGUUACACCUCUUAGAAAGGAGUAACGUCAUUUUCUCACAUGGGAAAUUCCACAUGGCAAUUCCAACCAACCAUUUAUUUGACAGAAAUGCAGACGGAGGGAGCUCUCGGGAAUUUUAAAGACGUGUGACAUGUCGCACAGGGAAGUUAACGCCAGCAUUUCUGACGUUUGGAUCCCAGAAUGCAUUAUGUUAUGCAACAUCGCAUGCUUGAUCUGAAACUCGCCUAAUAUAAGCCUACUGCCAUUAAUUAGUGGUAAUUGCAUCGCAGAGAUGACUGCUUGCAUUCCGGAUCCCAGGGUCGCAUGUUGCCAUGUUACCGCUAAACCCCCCCUGACAGCCUUUAGCCCAAUUAGCCCAUACAAAAGGGAACCAUUGGGGCUCAGGAGCAAGCGGCGCAGAGCCAUUAGUGUGGCGGGGCUGGCGUUGGGUCUCCCGGCUUGUCGUACUCUAUGGCAACGGCGUGGCCGACGUAAACAAACAGGUGGAUGGCAAAUCCGCCACUAGCUGUGUCCGAAAUUGUUCCCUAUUCACUUACUCACUAUUCCCUAUAUAGUGUUUAUGAUAUAGGGAACUAUAUAGGGAACGAAAAAACAAGAAUUCUACGCUAAACACCACGCUAAACAUUUCUAAACAAUGCGGUCCUGUUUUGUAAACGUCAUUUACUGACAUAAAUUAUGUUUACAAAACACAACCGCAUUGCAUUGUGGUAUACGGGAGAUGUAGGGAACAUCGUGGGGCAAUUGCUAUGUCGCUAGCUUAGCCACUUUUUAGAGUUUAACACGGUUUUAAACUCAAGGGGGCAAUUGCUCUGUCGCUAGCUUAGACACUUUUUAGAGUUUAAGGCCGUGUUCACAUCUAGCGUUUUUGUAAUAGGGAAAAUUGAGCCGACCGUUUAAAAAAAAACAAAAAAAAACGCUGGCAGCGUUUUUUGUCCUAAAAGCGCAGAGUGUUUUUUCUAUCGCCUAGCAACGAACCCAAUCUAGACCCGACGUUACUCGCCUAUUACGUAUCCAGGCUAUGUUGUAGAUCUCGACAUGUUCUGUUAUUAAAACUAUUAACAGCUCCACCGGCACUUGCCUAAGUGAUUUGUCCGCCAUUGUUUCUUGUUUUGACAGUUGAGCGUUUCCUUUUUGACUUAAGUAUCAAUGUUCCGCUUGUGAUUGGGCCUAAAAGAAAAAAAAGUUUGGUUCCUGUUGGUUGUCAGUUGAGGUCAUGGGUAGGUAGGGAAUUUAUUUUAUUUUUUUAUUUUAUUUUUUCCAGCGGUAGCGAAUGAUAGGUAGGUUGUUUUCAUUUAAAAACGAGAAAAUUCGCUCAUCCUUGUACAGAAUGAAGAGGUGCUGUACCAAAACGUAAUUAUAGUUUGCAUCAUUUUUUUUUUUUUUUUUUUUUUUUUUAUAAAGCUCAUAAAAUAAUUUGGGUCGCACAUAAAUUGACAGGGUCGGUCGGAAACCGGAACAAAAACAAAAAAAAAAUUUAGGCCCUGGUCAGUUGCCAAAAAGACGCCUGACGUCGGCCGCUUUCUUCCUGAAAGUUGAACUUUCAGGAAGACGCUAGAUGUAAACGCUAGAUGUAAACACGGCUUUAACGUGGUUUUAAACUCAAGAAGUCACGUGACGUCUUAAGCUCCAUUACUGUGUCAUAUGUACUUGUGGUUUAACCUGCAGCUGCGUUUUACCUUGAUCUCAAUUGCUGUGUCUUCAGAGAAAUUCACAUUAGACACUAGAGGGCGUAUUUUGUGCGUGUUAGUCUAAUCUCCAAACUGACGUGGUUUCAGAGGAGACUAAACCAGUUUGCAGGAGGAAACAAGGCUCCAUCAUAACCGACACACACACAGAAUUAUUUCUGUGUUUUAUGAAUUAUUAUUAAUAGGUAUGAUACAUUUACACUUAUUACACCAGAGGCCUUCAGUACAAUACAGGCUACAAUAUAGCACUUUUUUUAAAUUGACCAACUAAAACUCUACAAAGAGCUGAUUAUUUGUAUGUAAAAGAAUAAAUGAACGCACAGAGGAUCGUACCAUUCAACGAAUCAUAAA
ensembl:lncRNA